GUUUUGAGAUCACGACGACGGCGAGCCUCCUCUCUCCUUCCGUUCGCGACGCCAUUGCUUGGAUCUUCACGCUCUCUCUCUCUUACUCGAUCUGGCUGUCUUUGGCCCUCUUCUCCCUCCCCCCAAUCUCAAACCCUAACUCCGUCGAUUCAGCGAAAAUAGUUUGACAAUCCUAGAGGGCUCAAAAUCUUAAACAACGAGUACAGAAGAAUUAGGGGACCAGUAGACAUUCGCACGGUACCCAAUUUAUAUGAAUCUGCGGCCGAGCUGAUCUGGUAAAACACUGCAAAUUUGUAUAUAGAGAACUUGAAACUGGGUUUUUGUAAACUAAUUAUUUCUUAUAUUGGCUGUUAUCUGAGUAUUUUCAUGUUACUUAAUUAGGAUAUUCAAGUUUAUACUACUACUCUUUCACCAAACAAAUUGCGUGCAUUAACUUGAUCAUAUACAUUGAAGAUCACGUAGUCUUGUGAGAAGGUGAUUAUACUAGUGUUUGAAGCUUGCUUUGAUUCUUAUCAUGUAUAAUCAAUAAAUUAAGUAAAUGACAUCCUUAAUUGAUAUGUAUAAGAAUCUGCAAUAUUUGUUUAAGAAAAAAUGACACUGGAACUUCUCUGUUUGUUAUCUUGCAUAACAAAUAAAUGAAGCUCUUCACUGACAAAAUUAAUACACACACUUUCUGAACAACCUUUCCUAACCUUAACCUAAAUAAAUGUAUUUUAUUUUUCCUCCUUCAAUUUCGAGGAAAGAGUCCAUUUGAAGUAGUCUAAGAUAAGAGCCAUAUGAAUACUGUAGACCAAAAUGUCAGUGCAAUUGCUGCAAUCAGAUAAGUCCAUAGGAAGAUGACAGAGGACUCCUCUUGACCAACAUCAAAUAACUGAUUCAUUCUAGCUGCAUUAAGAUUCAAACUCAAGUUUUUCUACAGAAAAAAUAUCAUCAAACAUUUGUGUUAUAUAGAAUUGUACCUAUGUUCGUGGCUGGUGGCAGAGUAAAUUAUAUCAUUAACACAUAGCGAUACAAAGGGUCAUAUGUCGUGAAUCCUACUUCAUAUGCUGCUUGUACCACAGCAAUUCCGAUCAAUGGAAAGAUCAUAUACCGAACACAAACUAUCGCAAAGAUUACCAUAGGCUUAAUGGUUGACUUGCAUAUUCCUGAAUGUUUCCAAGUUUUAGAAAGACAUACAGCAAUAACUAGUGCCAAAUGAUGUAAGUUAAGGCUUUACCUUGUGUCAAGUUUCUACCAAGAAUGAGAGUGAUGCAGGGUACUGUGCCAUCACUGGAUCAAUCAUAUAAACGCAUCAGGAAUGAGUUACUGCUUCAAAAAUUAUAGAUCAAACAGCAUGACAUGGGUACCCUAGUAUUCUGAUGGAGUCCUGAACAACUUUGAGCGGUGCAGUCAAACCUAUAAAAAGAGGCUUCAACCAUGGUACUGCUCCAACUAUGAGUCCUAUAAUCUGAAAUAGAUCAAAAGCAAUAGUGUACUAGAGCUGUUGCAUUGAAAACUACUAGUCUGUGAAACAGUUAUUCGUGCAAACUGCAAACCUACCGAGGCAACAGUGGGUGGUGCCAACAAUUCUUCAACAAAAUUUUGCAGAGCUUCUUUCAGUUUGUUCCCCAGGUUCAUUCCUUUAUCAUGAAAACCUCCACUGAGUAAUAGUGGGAUUUCCUGCAGUGAAAAAAGUGUCAAUUAUGAAUUCUACUCACAAGUUGGACAUCAUUAGUGUUACUUGCAAGUUUGUUUUCUGCUACUUCCUCCACUGAUUUUAGUGAACACUGGAAGGGUGUUUUGAUUUGCAGACUCCUUGAUGACCUUCCUUCAUCAGAUUAGCUCCAUUAGUGGCAAAUCCAUGGCUAUCUGAUUGGUUCCCAUGGUACACUUUACCAUCCUUCCUAAUGAGACUGUAAGU